GACAGAGGGGGCAAGCGUUGCUCGGAAUCACUGGGCGUAAAGGGCGCGUAGGCGGGAUGACAAGUCGGUCGUGAAAUCCCUGGGCUCAACUCAGGGGGGUCGGCCGAUACUGCCAUUCUUGAGGGAUGCAGAGGAGACUGGAAUUCCAGGUGUAGCGGUGAAAUGCGCAGAUAUCAGGAGGAACACCGAUGGCGAAGGCAGGUCUCUGGGCAUUAACUGACGCUGAGGAGCGAAAGCAUGGGGAGCGAACAGG
rnacentral:rRNA from 1 species